rnacentral:tRNA from 1 species
AGAAAUAUAGUUAAAUUAAUAUUAAUUUGUCAAAUUAAAGAUGAAUUAAUUCCUC